rnacentral:rRNA from 1 species
AUUGAACGCUGGCGGCAGGCCUAACACAUGCAAGUCGAGCGGAUGAAGGGAGCUUGCUCCUGGAUUCAGCGGCGGACGGGUGAGUAAUGCCUAGGAAUCUGCCUGGUAGUGGGGGAUAACGUCCGGAAACGGGCGCUAAUACCGCAUACGUCCUGAGGGAGAAAGUGGGGGAUCUUCGGACCUCACGCUAUCAGAUGAGCCUAGGUCGGAUUAGCUAGUUGUCGGGGUAAAGGCCUACCAAGGCGACGAUCCGUAACUGGUCUGAGAGGAUGAUCAGUCACACUUGAACUGAGACACCGUCCAGACUCCUACGGGAGGCAGCAGUGGGGAAUAUUGGACGAUGGGCGAAAGCCUGAUCCAGCCAUGCCGCGUGUGUGAAGAAGGUCUUCGGAUUGUAAAGCACUUUAAGUGGGGAGGAAGGGCAGUAAGUUAAUACCUAGCUGUUUUGACGGUACCAACAGAAUAAGCUCCGGCUAACUUCGUG